rnacentral:rRNA from 1 species
UUUAUGGAGAGUUUGAUCCUGGCUCAGGAUGAACGCUGGCGGCGUGCCUAAUACAUGCAAGUCGAGCGAAAGGACGAGAAGCUUGCUUCUCUGAUGUUAGCGGCGGACGGGUGAGUAACACGUGGAUAACCUACCUAUAAGACUGGGAUAACUUCGGGAAACCGGAGCUAAUACCGGAUAAUAUUUUGAACCGCAUGGUUCAAAAGUGAAAGACGGUCUUGCUGUCACUUAUAGAUGGA